UUUUUUUUUUUUUUUUUUGGUAGAAUGUAUCAAAUGUUGCAGUUUAUAUUGUGGAAUAAUAAAUCCUUGGUCCUAUUCUAACACUAGACUACAGCUUCUUCUGCCCUUCCACCUCGUGGGCCUGCAGAACCAGAAGGGUUGCUUGCUUCUGCUUCUUCCCAGGCAGGCAGCCGCAGAAGUGUGUUUGCUCUAGGAGACUCUGUAGCCUUAUUCUCUGGGUGGGCCUGUGCCUUCAUGCCCCACUAAUAAAGAAUCCCUGUCUUUAAAGACCAGAGCCAGUCCUUUAAGCCAUGUUCUUUUUCAGUAAGCCCUCAGAAUAUUGGAGUGGUCCCCAAAUCACUCCAGACUGUAAGACAGCUCUCCUAUGGAAUGCUUUUAUUGUCAUUGAAUUGACAGGGAAGUUUGGUUGAGAUGUGGUCCAUCAUCUUAGAGGCUCAGAUCUGUUGUAUCAGUUGAGGGGGACCUUGGGCCUGCCUGGGAUUUCUCUGCCAUCUAUGUAAUUUCAUCAGUCUCUCUGGUUGUGGACAGCCGAUACCAGUUUCCCCUGAUCUGCAGAGAGGAAGACUUCCAGUGAGCAGAACAGGCUCUUGCUCACUUUUCUCCUAAGUUGUUGCAAGCUCUUGUUUUCCUCACUGUCUGUAGCCAUAAGCCUGAUGGUGGGCAGAGUUAGCAGACCUUUAAUAAAACAUCAAAAAGCAGUUUGUGAAAUAGCGAAAAUUUAAAUGUACUGUCCCCUAUGCAAUCCAGGUAAUUAAAUCUGUUUAAGAAUAACCCAGUGGUCUGCAGUGUCCUGCAGUGCUGUGAUGUCUCUUCUUGUCUGGGGAUGAAAGUAAGCUUUGAAGAGGGCAUUACUGAGCCUGGGGUGCACCUUAGUGGGAGAGCACAAGCAAGACUCUGCUUCCUAUGCGUGGCACUGUCCAAGGAAGUAAAUAUGUGUCAAAGAAGAUGGGAUGCUGCUGAAACCCAGUCUGAUGGCUGAGAACUUUCACCCAUUGAGAUGAGCCCUCUGUGUAGGCCUGGCUGUCCUGGAACUCACUCUGCAGACCAGGCUGGCCUCUCACUUAGAGAUCCACCUGCCUCUGCCUCCUGAGUGCUGAGAUUAAAGCCAUGUUCCACCACCACCACCGAGUUCCCUCUGGGUCUUAAUGGUUGUUUUGCUUAUUCAUUUGAAUUUUAAUGGGGUCCAAUCUAGCUCUGUAGCCAAGAGUGACCUUGAACUUCUGAAUUCGUUCUGAAUUCUUCUGACGAUGUUUUUAAUUCUGUAGCUAAAACGUGUGCAUCACUGUGCCCAAUUUCUGUGGUGUCAGGGAUCAAAUGUGAGGGCCUUGUGCAUGCCAGGCAAGCACUCUGCCAAGUGGACUAUAUAUGCGCCCUCACCAGCUUUUCUUUGUGUAAGCCUUGUGUAUCAUGUGUAUCUGAUAUUAGCAGAUUUGCUGAUAUGAUAGGAGAUAGAACCAUCCCCUUCCCAAGUGGGAAUCAUGGUUUGUUUGUAUGUGUUGAUACCAAGUCUGAAAUGUCAGCUGUGUAAAAUGAAAUGAACCCUGGGAUUGCUUCAGCUUUGCCAGUGCAUCCUACCCUGUGCAGUACCAACACUGCACACACUGAAGACAUCCAGUUUCAACUCAGGCCACCCGUGUGCCUGACAGAAGCUAAGGUUUUAUAAAAAGAACACAUUUUACUAUGUUAGCUUUGAAGCUUGCUGAUACCUUAGAGUAGUGGUUCUUAAUGAGUUGGUCACAACCCCUUUGGCAAACCAGUCUCCAAAAAUACAAUACAAAAAUACAAACAGAAGCAAGGUUACAGUUAUGAAGUAGCAGUGGAAUAAAUAACUUUAUGGUCAGGAAUCACCGCAACCUGAGGAACUGUGUUAAAGAGUCACAGCGUUAGGAAGGCUGAGAACCACUGCCAUGGAGGAAUGCUGGAUAAAUGGAGAAAGAAGGUAAAGUAAAAUAGCCACUGAGUUUCUACCUUAAGAGGCCCUGCAGGAGAGAGGACUGGAGUUAGCACCUGAGUCAGGAAGACGAUGGCAGAUUGGGCAGAUAGACUAGAGAAGUCUACUAGCUAGACCAGAGAGAGUGAAGUUCCAGUUUUAAUGGCGGACAAAACUACAAACCUUCAUUCUGUCACUGAGCAUGGAAUCCCGGAUUUUGCCUCAGUUGAAGGUCCACUUGGAUUAAGUAGCAUGAGCCUAUAUAAAAAUCAAAACACGGAAAGAGAGGGGUUAAUAGCUUCUGGUUUGGUAGAAUGACUAAGAUACAUCCAGGCUGCCCACCGCUGAAAGUGGGGUUGUAAUCCCAGCACCUAGGAUGCUGGGUCAAGAGGACUGUGGGGCCGCAGCCAUCCUGGGGGACAAAGUGCAAACAGUGUUGGUGGGUGAUUAGUGUGUGAUUAGCUGAAUAAACAGUAUUCAUUUCUGUGGCCGUGGUAGAAACUGGGCCUCUCAGCAGGGCCGUACCAUAAGUAAAAGUCCCGUGGACUCUAUUAUCUCCCACCCUAACCAGGCUUCUGCAACAAGCACCUUUCCCCACGAGCCAUUGCCAGCCCUGAGGCCUUGUGCAAUGGAUAUUUGGCAGACUUAGAAGACCUGCUUGUGUCUUGGGAUGGACAUGGAGAAGUUUUUGGUGCCCAUGGAUGUUUUACUGGGCCCAGUCCUGCCUAGGGUUGUUCAUGUAAUUUGACUCUUAAUAGAUUCCUAUAUACAUGAAACAGGAGGUGUAUUGGACAGCAGGUAUUUUAAAUGGGCACAAAGCAUGAAGCCAGAGCUGAGCAGUAGUAGCUGACAUAAGCUAGUCAGCAUAUAUUAAAAUGUUCUGUUGAGCUGGGAUGAAACUCGGGAAAACCACUUGCCAAGGACCAGAGAGAGGCCUUAGGUUUGGUUUCCAGAAACAUCAGAAGAAAAGGUUUCCUUCUGCCACAAUGCUGCAGAAAUAGAAUCUGGAAUAUUGCUUGUUGAAGAGUUUCGGAAGAGAGCAUUGAAGACCCCAUCGUCAGCAUGUUAUGGGCUGGCUGCAUUUGGAGCCAUCCUUCCUCAACGUGACUGAAACACCGGAGUUUAUGGCUUCUCCCCGUUUGGGCCUUCUGUCCUCAGUCCUUUGCCUGUGGCCCAAGUUUCUCAACUUCGAGAGAUUUCAUGUGUAACUUGUAAAGAAAAUGCUGCUUAAAACAUUCUAAGC
rnacentral:lncRNA from 1 species